AGCAGCCGCGGUAAUUCCAGCUCCAAUAGCGUAUAUUAAAGUUGUUGCAGUUAAAAAGCUCGUAGUUGAAUUUCGGGACUAAUAUGUCGGUCGUACUUUGUACGUACUAGCAUUAUUGGUUUCUCCCUUCUGACGAACCACGAUGUCAUUAAUUUGGUGUCAUGGGAAAUCAGGACUGUUACUUUGAAAAAUUAGAGUGUUUAAAGCAAGCUCGCGCUUGAAUACAUUAGCAUGGAAUAAUGAAAUAGGACGUUUGAUUCUAUUUUGUUGGUUUCUAGGAUCGACGUAAUGAUUAAUAGGGAUAGUUGGGGGCAUUAGUAUUCUAAUUGUCAGAGGUGAAAUUCUUGGAUUUAUUGAAGACUAACUACUGCGAAAGCAUUUGUCCAAGGAUGUUUUCUAUUAAUCAAGAACGAAGGUUAGGGGAGUCGAAGACGAUCAG
rnacentral:rRNA from 1 species